rnacentral:rRNA from 1 species
AAAGCCGAAAGGCUGUAUUUAUUAGUUUCAGACCAGCAUGGCGCAGCCAUGUGGUGAGGAAUCAUAAUAACUCGUCGGAGCGCCUCGCGGCGCUGCAUCAGUCAAGUUUCUGCCCUAUCAGCUUUUGAUGGUAGUGUAUUGGACUACCAUGGCGAUAACGGGUAACGGGGAAUUGGGGUUCGAUUCCGGAGAGGGAGCCUGAGAGACGGCUACCAUUUCUAUGGAAGGCAGCAGGCGCGUAAAUUACCCAAUCCUGACGCAGGGAGGUAGUUAAUAGAAAUAAUAGGUUCGGCUCUUUCGAGCUCUGAACAUAUAAUGAGUCUACUUUAAAGCACUUAACGAAUCCUAUUGGAGGGCAAGUCUGGUGCCAGCAGCCGCGGUAAUUCCAGCUCCAAUAGCGUAUAUUAAAGUUGUUGCAGUUAAAAAGCUCGUAGUUGAAACGCCGGCGCGGUCGCGCCUGUCCGCAAGGCCCGGUGAUACUGUAAAAAGUUUUGCCGGGGCGCCCGGACUUUUACUGUGAGAAAAAUAGAGUGCUUAGAGCAGGUGUCCGCUUGAAUAGUCUAGCAUGGAAUAAUG